AUUGAACGCUGGCGGCAUGCUUUACACAUGCAAGUCGAACGGCAGCGCGGGGCAACCUGGCGGCGAGUGGCGAACGGGUGAGUAAUAUAUCGGAACGUACCCAGAAGUGGGGGAUAACGUAGCGAAAGUUACGCUAAUACCGCAUACGAUCUACGGAUGAAAGUAGGGGACCGCAAGGCCUUAUGCUUUUGGAGCGGCCGAUAUCUGAUUAGCUAGUUGGUGAGGUAAAGGCUCACCAAGGCGACGAUCAGUAGCUGGUCUGAGAGGACGACCAGCCACACUGGAACUGAGACACGGUCCAGACUCCUACGGGAGGCAGCAGUGGGGAAUUUUGGACAAUGGGCGCAAGCCUGAUCCAGCAAUGCCGCGUGAGUGAAGAAGGCCUUCGGGUUGUAAAGCUCUAUUGUCAGGGAAGAAACGGUAGAGGCUAAUAUCCUUUGCUAAUGACGGUACCUGAAGAAUAAGCACCGGCUAACUACGUG
rnacentral:rRNA from 1 species